GAUGAACGCUGGCGGCGUGCCUAAUACAUGCAAGUCGAGCGAACGGACGAGAAGCUUGCUUCUCUGAUGUUAGCGGCGGACGGGUGAGUAACACGUGGAUAACCUACCUAUAAGACUGGGAUAACUUCGGGAAACCGGAGCUAAUACCGGAUAAUAUUUUGAACCGCAUGGUUCAAAAGUGAAAGACGGUCUUGCUGUCACUUAUAGAUGGAUCCGCGCUGCAUUAGCUAGUUGGUAAGGUAACGGCUUACCAAGGCAACGAUGCAUAGCCGACCUGAGAGGGUGAUCGGCCACACGGGAACUGAGACACGGUCCAGACUCCGACGGGAGGCAGCAGUAGGGAAUCUUCCGCAAAGGGCGAAAGCCUGACGGAGCAACGCCGCGUGAGUGAUGAAGGUCUUCGGAUCGUAAAACUCUGUUAUUAGGGAAGAACAUAUGUGUAAGUAACUGUGCACAUCUUGACGGUACCUAAUCAGAAAGCCACGGCUAACUACGUG
rnacentral:rRNA from 1 species